AACGAACGUUGGCGGCAUGCCUAACACAUGCAAGUCGAACGAGACCUUCGGGUCUAGUGGCGCACGGGUGCGUAACGCGUGGGAACCUGCCCUUAGGUUCGGAAUAACCCCCCGAAAGGGGUGCUAAUACCGGAUAAUGUUUUCGGACCAAAGAUUUAUCGCCUUUGGAUGGGCCCGCGUUGGAUUAGCCAGUUGGUAGGGUAAAAGCCUACCAAGGCGACGAUCCAUAGCUGGUCUGAGAGGAUGAUCAGCCACACUGGGACUGAGACACGGCCCAGACUCCUACGGGAGGCAGCAGUGGGGAAUAUUGGACAAUGGGCGAAAGCCUGAUCCAGCAAUGCCGCGUGAGUGAUGAAGGCCUUAGGGUUGUAAAGCUCUUUUACCCGGGAUGAUAAUGACAGUACCGGGAGAAUAAGCUCCGGCUAACUCCGUG
rnacentral:rRNA from 1 species